CGGUAAUACGGAGGGUGCAAGCGUUAAUCGGAAUUACUGGGCGUAAAGCGUGCGUAGGUGGUUUGUUAAGUUAGAUGUGAAAGCCCUGGGCUCAACCUAGGAACUGCAUUUAAAACUGGCGAACUAGAGUAUAGGAGAGGAAAGUGGAAUUUCAGGUGUAGCGGUGAAAUGCGUAGAUAUCUGAAGGAACAUCAAUGGCGAAGGCAGCUUUCUGGACUAAUACUGACACUGAGGUACGAAAGCGUGGGUAGCAAACAGGAUUAGAUACCCUGGUAGUCCACGCCGUAAACGAUGACAACUAGCCGUUGGGAGGAUUUACCUCUUAGUGGCGAAGCUAACGCGUUAAGUUGUCCGCCUGGGGAGUACGGCCGCAAGGCUAAAACUCAAAGGAAUUGACGGGGACCCGCACAAGCGGUGGAGCAUGUGGUUUAAUUCGAUGCAACGCGAAGAACAACUUACCUGGUCUUGACAACCGGAAUUUCCAGAGAGGAUUGGUGCCUUCGGGAACCGUGAUACAGGUGCUGCAUGGCUGUCGUCAGCUCGUGUUGUGAGAUGUUGGGUUAAGUCCCGUAACGAGCGCAACCCUUAUCCUUAUUUGCCAGCACAUCAUGGUGGGAACUAUAAGGAGACUGCCGGUGAUAAACCGGAGGAAGGCGGGGACGACGUCAAGUCAUCAUGGCCCUUACGACCAGGGCUACACACGUGCUACAAUGGGAAGGACAAAGGGUCGCAACCUCGCGAGAGCAAGCUAAUCUCAUAAACCUUUUCGUAGUCCGGAUCGGAGUCUGCAACUCGACUCCGUGAAGUCGGAAUCGCUAGUAAUCGUGGAUCAGAAUGCCACGGUGAAUACGUUGCCCGG
rnacentral:rRNA from 1 species